GAUGAACGCUGGCGGCGUGCCUAAUACAUGCAAGUCGAGCGAACAGACGAGGAACUUGCUCCUCUGACGUUAGCGGCGGACGGGUGAGUAACACGUGGAUAACCUACCUAUAAGACUGGGAUAACUUCGGGAAACCGGAGCUAAUACCGGAUAAUAUAUUGAACCGCAUGGUUCAAUAGUGAAAGACGGUUUUGCUGUCACUUAUAGAUGGAUCCGCGCCGCAUUAGCUAGUUGGUAAGGUAACGGCUUACCAAGGCAACGAUGCGUAGCCGACCUGAGAGGGUGAUCGGCCACACUGGAACUGAGACACGGUACAGACUCCUACGGGAGGCAGCAGUAGGGAAUCUUCCGCAAUGGGCGAAAGCUUGACGGAGCAACGCCGCGUGAGUGAUGAAGGUCUUCGGAUCGUAAAACUCUGUUAUUAGGGAAGAACAAAUGUGUAAGUAACUAUGCACGUCUUGACGGUACCUAAUCAGAAAGCCACGGCUAACUACGUG
rnacentral:rRNA from 1 species